CCUACGGGUGGCAGCAGUGAGGAAUAUUGGUCAAUGGGCGCGAGCCUGAACCAGCCAAGUCGCGUGAGGGAUGAAGGUUCUAUGGAUCGUAAACCUCUUUUAUAAGGGAAUAAAGUGUGGGUCGUGUCCUAUUUUGUAUGUACCUUAUGAAUAAGGAUCGGCUAACUCCGUGCCAGCAGCCGCGGUAAUACGGAGGAUCCGAGCGUUAUCCGGAUGUAUUGGGUGUAAAGGGUGCGUAGGCGGCCUUUUAAGUCAGCGGUGAAAGUCUGUGGCUCAACCAUAGAAUUGCUGUUGAAACUGGGGGGCUGGAGUAUGUGUGAGGCAGGUGGAAUGCGUGGUGUAGCGGUGAAAUGCUUAGAUAUCACGCAGAACACCGAUUGCGAAGGCAGCCUGCCAAGCCAUGACUGACGCUGAUGCACGAAAGCGUGGGGAUCAAACAGGAUUAGAUACCCCAGUAGUC
rnacentral:rRNA from 1 species